rnacentral:rRNA from 1 species
AGAGUUUGAUCCUGGCUCAGGAUGAACGCUGGCGGCAUGCCUAAUACAUGCAAGUCGAACGAGGAUCCUUCGGGAUCCUAGUGGCGAACGGGUGAGUAACACGUAGGGAACCUGCCCGCGCACCGGGAAUACGCUCUGGAAACGGAGAACAAAUCCCGAUGUACAGGAAGGAGGCAUCUUCUUUCUGUGAAACAUCCUGUAAGGGAUGGGGCGCGGAUGGACCUGCGGUGCAUUAGUUAGUUGGCGAGGGUAAAGGCCCACCAAGACGAUGAUGCAUAGCCGGCCUGAGAGGGCGGACGGCCACAUUGGGACUGAGACACGGCCCAGACUCCUGCGGGAGGCAGCAGUAGGGAAUUUUCGUCAAUGGGCGCAAGCCUGAACGAGCGAUGCCGCGUGAGUGAAGAAGGCCUUCGGGUCGUAAAGCUCUGUUGCGGGGGAAAAAAGGCAUCUGCAGGAAAUGGUAGAUGACAGAUGGUGCCCCGCCAGAAAGUCACGGCUAACUACGUGCCAGCAGCCGCGGUAAUACGUAGGUGGCGAGCGUUAUCCGGAAUGAUUGGGCGUAAAGGGUGCGCAGGCGGUCCUGCAAGUCUGGAGUGAAACGUAUGAGCUCAACUCAUGCAUGGCUCUGGAAACUGGAGGACUGGAGAGCAGGAGAGGGCGGUGGAACUCCAUGUGUAGCGGUAAAAUGCGUAGAUAUAUGGAAGAACACCAGUGGCGAAGGCGGCCGCCUGGCCUGUUGCUGACGCUGAGGCACGAAAGCGUGGGGAG